rnacentral:rRNA from 1 species
UAAGUCAGUGGUGAAAGCCCUACGCUUAACGUAGGAACGGCCAUUGAUACUGUUAGGCUUGAAUUAUUAGGAAGUAACUAGAAUAUGUAGUGUAGCGGUGAAAUGCUUAGAGAUUACAUGGAAUACCAAUUGCGAAGGCAGGUUACUACUAAUGGAUUGACGCUGAUGGACGAAAGCGUGGGUAGCGAACAGGAUUAGAUACCCUGGUAGUCCACGCCGUAAACGAUGGAUACUAGCUGUUGGAAGCAAUUUCAGUGGCUAAGCGAAAGUGAUAAGUAUCCCACCUGGGGAGUACGAACGCAAGUUUGAAACUCAAAGGAAUUGACGGGGGCCCGCACAAGCGGUGGAGCAUGUGGUUUAAUUCGAUGAUACGCGAGGAACCUUACCAAGGCUUAAAUGUAGUUUGACCGAUUUGGAAACAGAUCUUUCGCAAGACAAAUUACAAGGUGCUGCAUGGUUGUCGUCAGCUCGUGCCGUGAGGUGUCAGGUUAAGUCCUAUAACGAGCGCAACCCCUGUUGUUAGUUGCCAGCGAGUCAAGUCGGGAACUCUAACAAGACUGCCAGUGCAAACUGUGAGGAAGGUG